AUGUGGACUGGAAAUCCAAUUGAUGGCUGUGCAAUCUUUUGGCGUGCUUCAAGGUUCAAGUUGCUUCAGGAAGAAUGCAUUGAGUUCAACAAGCUGGGGCUCCCGUAUAAUGUUGCUCAGAUAUGCGUGCUUGAGUUUUUCUUGAUGGACAGCUAGUGAGUGAAAAUGAGACUGGAAAUACAGCACAUCAAUCAGCCAGUUCAGCAGGUUCUACAAAGAUUGUGGUCUGUAACAUUCACGUGCUCUACAAUCCUA